AAUUCGUGCCUCAUGAUUC
rnacentral:sRNA from 1 species